UGGCCUUGCAGCCUGUUUCUUCAUCUGAAAAAAAGAAGGAAAAAUAAUACCAAACUCAGAAAGACUUCAUGAGGAUCGAGUCUGUUUGAAUUGCUUUUCAUUGCACCUUCUAAAUAUGGGGAACUGCGACAUGAAGAAGUUAACUUACCUAAGAUCAGAGAAUGAGUCAAGGACAGAACAGGACCAUGUCAUCAAAUUUAGAGAAACUUGAACUAUGAGAAAAGAAAAGGAGAAUGGAAUCCAAAACUCUGGAGGACAUUUCUGGCUGAAAAUUUGAAGGGCCAUGUUUUACAGUGAGGUUGGAGAUCAUUGGGGAUCUUCAUGGAAGAGCAUACAUUUGAGCUGAAGAUGUAAACAAGCAUAGUUUGAGCAUGGAAACAAGGAGGAUUCCAGCAAAGGAAACUCAAAAGAAUAGUGACAGAAAACAAAGGCAGUCAUUUGGUUCAGGUGCAAGUGACCAGGUAAAGGAUUUCAGGGCAUAAAUUUGGCAGAGCAAACCAUGGGAAGUUUGAAGGACCUGGAAUCUCAAACCUGGGAGUUUAUAAUCUCUUCUAUAGUUGCUUGGAAAGGAUGGACUAAUUUUGAUUGAGACUUGACCAGAACUGGGAUAUAAAAAGAUUCAUCUGGCAAAGUAUAGCAUGAAAUUAAGACAGAAAAAACAAGAGGUGGACCUAAACAUAAGACCUGAAUCUAUAAAAAUCCUAAAAGAAAACAUAGAGAAUACUCUUCUGGACAUUGGCCUUGGCAAAAAAAAAAAAAUUAUAACCAAGUUCUCAAAAGCAAACACAACAAAACCAAAAAUAGACAAAUGGGACUUAAUUAAAUGAAAGAGCUUCUGCACAGCAAAAGAAACAAUCAACAAAGUAAAUAGACAUUUCACAGAAUGGGAAAAAAUAUUUGCAAACUAUACACCCAGUGAAGGGCUAAUAUCCAGAAUCUACAAGGAAUUCAAACAAUUCGACAAGAAAAGAACAAAUAACUCUAUUAAAAAGUGGGCAAAGGACAUGAACAGACAUUUUCAAAACAAGACAUACAAGCGGCAAACCAGCAUAAGAAAACAUACUCAACAUCAUUAAUCAUCAGAGAAAUGCAAAUUAAAACCACAAUGAGAUACCAGCUUGCACCAGUCAGAAUGACUUAAUAAAAAGUCUAAAAACCACAGAUAUUAGCAAGCAUACAAAGGCAAGGGAAUGCUUAUACAUUGUUGGUGGGAAUGUAAAGUAGUACAGCCUUUAUGGAAAACAGUAUAGAGAUUUCUCAAAGAGCUAAAAUAGAACUACCAUUCAAUCUAGCAAUCCCAGUACUGGGUAUAUGACUAAAGGGAAAUAAAUCAUUACAUAAAAAAGACACCUGCAUUUGUCUGUUUAUUGCAGCACUAUUUACAAUAGCAAAGAUAUGGAAUCAACAGCUUAAGUGUCCAUCAGGAGAGGACUGAAUAAUGAAAAUGUGGUAUAUGUACCAUGGGAUACUGCUCAGACAUAGAAAAGAAAGAAAGCAUAUCUUUUGCAGCAACAUAGUUGGAAUUUGAGGCCAUUAUCCUCAGUUAAAUAACUCAGAAACAGAAAGUCAAAUACCACAUGUUCUCACUUAUAAGUGGGAGCUAAACA
rnacentral:lncRNA from 10 species